rnacentral:rRNA from 1 species
UACGAGGGGGGCAAGCGUUGUUCGGAAUUAUUGGGCGUAAAGGGUGCGUAGGCGGUCUGACAAGUCUGAUGUGAAAUCUAUGGGCUCAACCCAUAGUCUGCAUCGGAAACUGUCGGGCUUGAGUAUGGGAGAGGUGAGUGGAAUUUCCGGUGUAGCGGUGAAAUGCGUAGAUAUCGACUUGGAACGCCGAAGGUGAAAACAGGCUGCUGGGGUUGCGCCGACGCCGUGAGACA